AUGACUCAAGUUGAGAAACACAACCGCGCACCACCACUCUAUCUCCCUAUCAGCUCCAUUUUUCCACGGGAAAAACCUAACAGGAAACUUCCCCAAAGCUCAGAGCAAAUACACGAUGAUGCUACUGCCAUGCGUCAGUGUCAGAUUUCGGGCGGCGGGCAGGGGUCAUUCGGCCCCGGGAGCCACAGCCCUUUUCCCUCAGCCCACAAUCGCCAGGGGGUCAGGGAGCUCCGGAGACCCGGCACGGUGUCCGGGGACAAGCACCUGUCACCGGGGUCACGGGGCUGCGGCGCGGCGCCCGGAUGUAGCAGCGGGGACGGCUGGACAGGGUCGCGGCCUCCCGUUGCCCUAGCUCCUCGGGACUCCGGCCUCACCUGCUGGGAGGCCCGCGGCUCCGGGGGGGCGGGCGGCCACGAGGGCACCGCAUCCCGGCCACCAGCUUCCCUGAGAUUCCGCUCCUUUCCGGGAGGCACGCGGCGCGCACCCGCCAGCGUCACGUCACAGCUCGCGCCGGCGCGCGCACGUAGGAAGCGAGACCGCGCGCGCUGGGGAAGGGUAACUCAAAUAGGGGAGUGACACAGUCCACACUCAGGACUAGCCCACCUGCGGCCACAGAGCAAGGACCUGCUGCGGCCUACAACCACUGACUCCUGCUCCCCUGAGGGGAGAAAAAGAUGACAGUUCCUGCCAAGUCCCAAUCAUAAGACUCAAGCUUGGUGAGUUUUCUGGGAUGGACAGCUGCUGACAACUAACUGGGCCUGCGGAGGUACUGCUCCCACCACCACCUUCUCUCAAUCCAGGGAAACGCUGUCUGUAACUGGUAAGGUUAUUUCCUUUUUAUCUGAUACAAGAGGAAAUUGUUCAGUUUUACCA
rnacentral:lncRNA from 1 species